AUCUAUCCUUUUUUUCCCCUUCUUACUUUCGCUUUUUAGGGUCUGAAAUUUCUUAAAACUUUGUUCAAUUUAGUUGAAUCUGAACUGCACUAUGGAUGCUUAUCUGUAUGCAAAUCCUGUGAAUCGUCACAGGUCCUCGGGUUCAACUACAUAAUACAAAUUCCACCUCUGAACUUCAUUUUUCCUUCAAAAUAAAGCUUCGAUUUGAUCUCUUUUAGUGAGACAAAUGGCUGAAAAUCUUAUGCAUGCUUUACAAUAUAACAGCUAUAGUGGAGGCGCUGUUGCUUUGAAGGGACUUGAUUUUAUAACGCUGUGAAUUUUUGUGCUUUUUACAGCAUGUUGAAGUUCCGAUCCCAACUCCAAAUAAAGACUGGUCAAGCUAUGGCAAGUGCUCUCAAUGUUGUACAAACAUCUCAUUCGUAUGGGGAUUUAAUGCUUCUAAUGAAACAUGCUGAACUGCAACAAGUGUGUGCUUCUCUUGGUGGUUUUUUUUACUACGUUUUUAAGUGAUAAAACUUAUGUUAACUUUGUGAGGAAUCGGGUCUCGUAACACGUGAUUCAUCUGAAUAUCUAUUUGUUUUAGUGUUAAUAAUUCUUUUAACAUUUUAACUUAUCAUAGAUGCUAUGUUUUGAUUUAGCAUUCUUGUUUAUCAUGUAAAGAAAUUGUCUGGAAUUUUAAUAGCAAAAAUUGGAAUUUUUUUUUAUUGUUGUCUAUGUUUUACUUGUGAAUUGUGAUUGCAAUGGUUUACCUUCCUUUGGUGUAAAAUCUACUUGGCCAAUUGGAAUGUUCAAUGAUUUAUUUAGCCCUUGUACUCAGCAAUAUUACUUCUAAUUGUACUGUAACACAUCUAUAUGCCCAUUUCUUACCUGUAAUCAUGUUGCAUAUGCUUUGGCUUUUUAAAUCGUGAAUCAUGAUUAAUGAAAAUGAGAUGGAUAGCUGAUGCCUUUCCUGAUUUUCAGGUUUGACAAGGAACUGAACAAGUAAGUUGCUAUUAAAGUUAUUGAUUUAGAAGAAUCGUAAGUGGAUACCUUUGUUAUAUUUUCCUUGAUUUAUUCCUCAUUAAAGUGUCUUGUAGCAGGUGCUUGCUAUGAGCAGCAAAGUAUGAAUGAAUGUGAUUAUCAACUUUACAAAUAUACAUAGUAAAGUUUAAAGUAUGAAUCGAAUUGCUAUGAGCAGCAAAUUUAGCGAUAAAACAAAGUCACACCAAAUUGCUAUGAGCAGCAAAGAAAAUUUUUUUAAUUGCAGAAAACCAACUUCCCUUUUUCCCAUACUGCCAGAAAAUUUAGGGACCGCACGACUUGUGGUUAAUUUCGAUAGGUGGUGGACUGGUGAGGAAUCUGUGAAUGUUCUCUUAGAAGCCGCAGGCCAAGGAACACAUGCACUAUGCCUUAUUUUCAUUUAAGGACCGCCAAGGAAAUUCUGAAACUGAAAGCUGAUUGAUCGGAUGUGUAUGCCGGCUUUCAUCAACUACUUUCGAAGGCCUUACUAGGAAUUGAAGUGGUGUGCAAAGAGAUUGCUUCUUCCGAUCUGAUUUUUCGAUAUAAAUCUUGGACAAAGUAUGGAUAUUUUACUGUCAUUAGUAAAAUAGGAUUCUCUUCUUAGGAUCUUAGUUUCUUCACUUGUAUUAGACUCAACAAUGGCUUGAAUUGUAUUGGUGUUGAUUUUACCAAAAUUUCGAGGUUUAUAAUU